AACGCACCUUGCGCUCUCUGGUAUUCCGGAGAGCAUGCCUGUUUGAGUGUCAUGAACUCUUCAACCCACCGGUUCCUUGUUGGACCGAGCUGGUGUUUGGAUUUUGAUUGCUGCAAGCCUUUGAGCUUGCUCGAUCGUAAUAUAUUAGCCCUCUCAAUUUCGAACUUCGGAUUGACUCAGCGUAAUAGACUAUUCGCUGAGGACACCCUUUGGGUGGCCGACAAGUAGAUAACAGUUAGAGGCUUCCAAUCCUUCUAGUCAAAUCUCUUAGAUUAGACCUCAGAUCAGGCAGGAUUACCCGCUGAACUUAA
rnacentral:misc_RNA from 1 species